rnacentral:lncRNA from 1 species
GGGUACGCGGUGUUCUUGGAGUUAGGUAAGGUGAAGGGGUGUUCGGGGUUCUUGGGGACAAGUUGACAAACUCUAGCGCUUGUUGUCUCAGUUCUAGUGGGUAAUCAGCGACACACACAAUCCUUGGCCCAGCACCGGUUGAACAUUUGAGUGACACCCUUGGCCCAGCACCGGUUGACCAUUUGAAUGACAGCUGAUGUCCCAAUUGGUACGAUUUCGUUGCCUUCUUUGAGUUAAUCCUUUGCAAUAUCGCAG